rnacentral:rRNA from 1 species
UGGGGAAUAUUGCACAAUGGGCGCAAGCCUGAUGCAGCCAUGCCGCGUGUGUGAAGAAGGCCUUCGGGUUGUAAAGCACUUUCAGCGAGGAGGAAGGUGGUGAGCUUAAUACGCUCAUCAAUUGACGUUACUCGCAGAAGAAGCACCGGCUAACUCCGUGCCAGCAGCCGCGGUAAUACGGAGGGUGCAAGCGUUAAUCGGAAUUACUGGGCGUAAAGCGCACGCAGGCGGUUUGUUAAGUCAGAUGUGAAAUCCCCGGGCUCAACCUGGGAACUGCAUUUGAAACUGACAAGCUAGAGUCUCGUAGAGGGGGGUAGAAUUCCAGGUGUAGCGGUGAAAUGCGUAGAGAUCUGGAGGAAUACCGGUGGCGAAGGCGGCCCCCCUGGACGAAGACUGACGCUCAGGUGCGAAAGCGUGGGGCAGCAAACAGGAUUAGAUACCCUGGUAGUCCAGCGCUGUAAACGAUGUCGAUUUGGAGGUUGUGCCCUUGAGGCGUGGCUUCCGGAGCUAACGCGCUUAAAUCGACCGCCUGGGGAGUACGGCCGCAAGGUUAAAACUUAAAUGAAUUGAC